rnacentral:sRNA from 1 species
AGUGAACUUUGUUUGUAGUGAAAAUCCUUGUUUGCCGGGGUUCGGCAAACAAGAUUGCAACGGAUAGCGGGACGAUAC